GGGGGUAUAGCUCAACGGCAGAGCAUCGGACUUUGACUCCGGUGAUUUAGGUUCGAUUCCUAGUGCCCCUGCCA
rnacentral:tRNA from 1 species